GAGAGAGAAAAAGAGGGAUCGGUUGAAAAAGAGAGAUGGAGAGACAAGAGAGAAAAGAAAAGAAAAAAGAGAAGAAGAAAGUCUUCUUCUUCUUCUUAGUUUUGCCAUAGACAACACAUUGGAUCAAGUUGUUAUUGUUGGGAGAAGUUUUGGAGGUACGUUUUAAUUAUUGGUUUCUAUUAACUUGUUGUGGAGAAGCAUGAUUGCAAUAGAAGUAGAAAUCAAAGAUUUUACAUAAAUAUGCUGACAGUGAAUCAUUACGAAAAUCAUAGUAAUUUGUACAAAUUGAUUUUGAUUCUGUUUUUUGGGUAUGUUAAACUAGACAUUGUCUAAUAUGUUUUGAAACUUGUUUCAAGUUAAUCGGAUAAGAUUUCGAUUAAUUAUGAUUUUUCAAAUUCAAGUCUGAAAACCUGGAAAUUUAUGAUUUCAGUGAAUUACGAAAUUAUUUCUACCAUAUCUAGACUCCUUCAAAAAUUAUGAAAUUUGGACCAAUGAUUUUUAUAUAUGUCUAGUAUGAUUCUGGAAAUUUUCAUGAUUUUAUGAUCAAGAAAUAAAUUGUUUUGUAUUUUUAAAGCAAGUGUGUUCAAAACAGAAAACUGUUUGACAGUAUUGAUGAUGUCUGAAACGUGAAUUAUUUUCAAUCUUUUUGGAAGGAAUUAUGUUAUGAAAUUUUUAUCAAUGAACUUUCAAUGUGUCAGCAUAUGGUCUGUAAAAUUUGAGAUUCUUCCAAUAAGAGAAUAAUUUAUUAAAAAUCGGAGAAAUAUGGACUGUUAUGUUUUGAGGGCCGAUUAUUGAGGACAUUUGAGGUUGAGCUUAAGAGUUAUUUAAAUUGAGAUAUUUGAGGACAUUAGAGUUUAUGAUUGAGAUUUGAUUAUAUCUUAUGAGAAUUUAUUGAUGAUUUUAGGUUGAUGGUAUCAGUACGCAUUUGUUACAUGAGGAUGCCAAGAGGUAAGUAAACUAGACUUUAAAACGAAUCACAAUAAAUAAUAUAUAUGUUUGACUUGUAUGAAAAGCCUAUUUUGAUAUGUACGAAUAUGGAUUUAUAUGUCUCUGCUCAUGUGUUUAUGUGAUGUGUUGUUAUGUAAUGGGCGUGAUUAUGUACAUGGGCAUAUAUAUGUGUGAUGGUUCAUUGGCAUGAGCACGAAAAUGCAUUGAGUUUUCUAUGAAUGAGAAAGUGGAUUUUAGCAAAUUGAAUUUAUGUUUUAUGAGAUUUUGCAUUGGGGGCCACCUCUUGAAGUUGUGUGGGGGCCACCUCUUGAGACUAUGCAGGGGCCACCUCUUGAGGGCUAGAGUCCCGCAAAGUGCCACGCAUGGUGCAAAGUGCCACGCACAACACAAAGUGCCACAUUGUAGGAUACGUAUUUCAUCGAAAGAAAAUGAGAAAGUUUGAAAGCGACAGAAAGAGAUUUUUAUGAAUUAAUUUUACAGUAUUUCUAAAAGAUCAUGGCAUAUCAUCCAUUGCAUUAUGUAUAAGUAUGUAUGUAUUUUCUAUAAGAAAAACUAGUUUGCUUACUGAGUUUUGUACUCAUUAUAGUUUAUUGUGAUUCAGUUUCCAGAAGUCAGGAUUGAUUCGUGAUGAGUGACAAGUUGAAGAUGGUAGAUGGUUUCGCUAAAUUUUUUAGUUAUUCCGCUGGCUUUUGUAUUUGAUGCUCGAAUUUUAUUGUUUGUAAAGAGUUAUUUAAAUCAUAUGUGAGUUGUGGACAUAUUUGCCCUUGGAUUUCGGACUGGGGUGUUAUAUUUCGAGGGGCCUCCGUGUGCCAAAAAUAGGCCGCGGGAAAUGCCGCGCCAAAAAUAUCCGCCCGAAGGCCCGCGCCAAGUUCGUCCAGCGGAAAAAGGCCACAAAAACGGGUGGGCUAUAGCCUUGGGGGGUGGGGCUGGCCAACUUCGUCCGCCGGAAUCGGAAUGCCGCGAGACUUUGCUAGGGGCUUCCAUUUGCCAAAAAUAGGCCGCAGACAAAGCCGCGCCCAAAAAUAACCGCCCGAAGGCCGGGGCGCGAAGCUCGUCCAGCGGAAAAAGGCCACAAAAACGGGUGGGCUAUAGCCUUGGGGGUGGGGCUGGCCAACUUCGUCCGCCGGACUCGGAAUGCCGCGAGACUUUGCGAGGGGCCUCCGUGUGCCAAAAAUAGGCCGCGGGCAAAGCCGCGCCCAAAAAUAACCACCCGAAGGCCGGGGCGCCAAGUUCGUCCACCGGAAAAAGGCCACAAAAACGGGUGGGCUAUAGCCUUGGGGGGUGGGGCUGGCCAACUUCGUCCGCCGGACUCGGAAUGCCGCGAGACUUUACGAGGGGCCUCCGUGUGCCAAAAAUAGGCCGCGGGCAAAGCUGCGCCCAAAAAUAACUGCCCGUAGGCUGGGGCGCCAAGUUCGUCCAGCGGAAAAAGGCCACAAAAACGGGUGGGCUAUAGCCUUGGGGGGUGGGGCUGGCCAACUUCGUCCGCUGGACUCGGAAUGCCGCGAGACUUUGCCAGGGGCCUCUGUGUGCCAAAAAUAGGCCGCGGACAAAGCCACGCCCAAAAAUAACCGGCCGAAGGCCGGGGCGCCAAGUUCGUCCAGCGGAAAAAGGUCACAAAAACGGGUGGGCUAUAACCUUGGGGGGUUGGGCUGGCCAACUUCGUCCGCCGAACUCGGAAUGCCGCGAGACUUUGCGAGGGGCCUCCGUGUACCAAAAAUAGGCCGCGGACAAAGCCGCGCCAAAAAUAACCGCCCGAAGGCCGGGGCGCCAAGUUCGUCCAUCGGAAAAAGGCCACAAAAACGGGUGGGCUAGCCUUGGGGGGUGGGGCUGGCCAACUUCGUCCGCCGGACUCGGAAUGCGGCAAGACUUCUUGAGGGGCCUCCAUGUGCCAAAAAUAGGCCACGCCCAAAAAUAACCGUCCGAAGGCCGGGGCGCCAAGUUCGUCCAGCGGAAAAAGGCCACAAAAACGGGUGGGCUAUAGCCAUGGGGGGUGGGGCUGGCCAACUUCGUCCGCCGGACUUGGAAAGCCGCGAGACUUUGCGAGGGGCCUCCGUGUGCCAAAAAUAGGCCGCGGGCAAAGCUGCGCCCAAAAAUAACCCCCGAUGGGCAGGGCGCCAAGUUCGUCCAGCAGAAAAAGGCCACAAAAACGGGUGGGCUAUAGCCUUGGGGGGUGGGGCUGGCCAACUUCGUCCGCCGGACUCGGAAUGCCGUGAGACUUUGCGAGGGGCCUCUGUGUGCAAAAAAUAAGCCGCGGACAAAGCCGCGCCCAAAAAUAACCGCCCGAAGGCCGGGGCGCCAAGUUCGUCCAGCGGAAAAAGGCCACAAAAACGGGUGGGCUACAGCCUUGGGGGGUGGGGCUGGCCAACUUCGUCCGCCGGACUCGGAAAGCGGCAAGACUUUGCGAGGGGCCUCCGUGUGCCAAAAAUAGGCCGCGCCCAAAAAUAACCGCCCGAAGGCCGGGGCGCCAAGUUCGUCCAGCGGAAAAAGGUCACAAAAACGGGUGGGCUAUAGCCUUGGGGGGUGGGGCUGGCCAACUUCGUCCGCCGGACUCGGAAUACUGCGAGACCUUGCGAGGGGCCUCCGCGGGCAAAGCCGCGCCCAAAAAUAACCGCCCGAAGGCCGGGGCGCCAAGUUCGUCCAGCGGAAAAAGGCCACAAAAACGGGUGGGCUAUAGCCUUGGGGGGUGGGGCUGGCCAACUUCGUCCGCCGGGCUCGGAAUGCCGCGAGACUUUUCGUGUAAUACCCCAAAUCUCCUAAGGGUAUUUAAGUCUUUUUAAUUUUUAGUGAUCCUUUUUACCCUAAUAUAAAUAGAACAAGAUGUAUUUUUCAUUAUAAGAGAGAGAAAAAGAGGGAUCGGUUGAAAAAGAGAGAUGGAGAGACAAGAGAGAAAAGAAAAGAAAAAAGAGAAGAAGAAAGUCUUCUUCUUCUUCUUAGUUUUGCCAUAGACAACACAUUGGAUCAAGUUGUUAUUGUUGGGAGAAGUUUUGGAGGUACGUUUUAAUUAUUGGUUUCUAUUAACUUGUUGUGGAGAAGCAUGAUUGCAAUAGAAGUAGAAAUCAAAGAUUUUACAUAAAUAUGCUGACAGUGAAUCAUUACGAAAAUCAUAGUAAUUUGUACAAAUUGAUUUUGAUUCUGUUUUUUGGGUAUGUUAAACUAGACAUUGUCUAAUAUGUUUUGAAACUUGUUUCAAGUUAAUCGGAUAAGAUUUCGAUUAAUUAUGAUUUUUCAAAUUCAAGUCUGAAAACCUGGAAAUUUAUGAUUUCAGUGAAUUACGAAAUUAUUUCUACCAUAUCUAGACUCCUUCAAAAAUUAUGAAAUUUGGACCAAUGAUUUUUAUAUAUGUCUAGUAUGAUUCUGGAAAUUUUCAUGAUUUUAUGAUCAAGAAAUAAAUUGUUUUGUAUUUUUAAAGCAAGUGUGUUCAAAACAGAAAACUGUUUGACAGUAUUGAUGAUGUCUGAAACGUGAAUUAUUUUCAAUCUUUUUGGAAGGAAUUAUGUUAUGAAAUUUUUAUCAAUGAACUUUCAAUGUGUCAGCAUAUGGUCUGUAAAAUUUGAGAUUCUUCCAAUAAGAGAAUAAUUUAUUAAAAAUCGGAGAAAUAUGGACUGUUAUGUUUUGAGGGCCGAUUAUUGAGGACAUUUGAGGUUGAGCUUAAGAGUUAUUUAAAUUGAGAUAUUUGAGGACAUUAGAGUUUAUGAUUGAGAUUUGAUUAUAUCUUAUGAGAAUUUAUUGAUGAUUUUAGGUUGAUGGUAUCAGUACGCAUUUGUUACAUGAGGAUGCCAAGAGGUAAGUAAACUAGACUUUAAAACGAAUCACAAUAAAUAAUAUAUAUGUUUGACUUGUAUGAAAAGCCUAUUUUGAUAUGUACGAAUAUGGAUUUAUAUGUCUCUGCUCAUGUGUUUAUGUGAUGUGUUGUUAUGUAAUGGGCGUGAUUAUGUACAUGGGCAUAUAUAUGUGUGAUGGUUCAUUGGCAUGAGCACGAAAAUGCAUUGAGUUUUCUAUGAAUGAGAAAGUGGAUUUUAGCAAAUUGAAUUUAUGUUUUAUGAGAUUUUGCAUUGGGGGCCACCUCUUGAAGUUGUGUGGGGGCCACCUCUUGAGACUAUGCAGGGGCCACCUCUUGAGGGCUAGAGUCCCGCAAAGUGCCACGCAUGGUGCAAAGUGCCACGCACAACACAAAGUGCCACAUUGUAGGAUACGUAUUUCAUCGAAAGAAAAUGAGAAAGUUUGAAAGCGACAGAAAGAGAUUUUUAUGAAUUAAUUUUACAGUAUUUCUAAAAGAUCAUGGCAUAUCAUCCAUUGCAUUAUGUAUAAGUAUGUAUGUAUUUUCUAUAAGAAAAACUAGUUUGCUUACUGAGUUUUGUACUCAUUAUAGUUUAUUGUGAUUCAGUUUCCAGAAGUCAGGAUUGAUUCGUGAUGAGUGACAAGUUGAAGAUGGUAGAUGGUUUCGCUAAAUUUUUUAGUUAUUCCGCUGGCUUUUGUAUUUGAUGCUCGAAUUUUAUUGUUUGUAAAGAGUUAUUUAAAUCAUAUGUGAGUUGUGGACAUAUUUGCCCUUGGAUUUCGGACUGGGGUGUUA
rnacentral:lncRNA from 1 species